rnacentral:rRNA from 1 species
AGAAUCAACGCUGGCGGCGUGCCUAACACAUGCAAGUCGCGACGAGAAAGGGGCUUCGGCUCUGAGUAAAGUGGCGCACGGGUGAGUAACACGUGAAUAAUCUACCUCCGAGUGGGGAAUAACUGAGAGAAAUCUUAGCUAAUACCGCAUAACACUUACGAGUCAAAGCAGCAAUGCGCUUGGAGAGGAGUUCGCGGCCGAUUAGUUAGUUGGCGGGGUAAUGGCCCACCAAGACGAUGAUCGGUAUCC